CGGAGAGCCGCUGCACCCGAGAGCGCCGCUGCCGGUAAGCUCCGUUUUUCCGUGAUUUUUUGGCCCCCCGAGGGUCCUAGGGUUGUUUUCUGACAAGGACCAAUGCGAGCGUGGCCGAAUUCGGCCGAAAACGGCCGAAAACAGCCAACCCGAGGCGACUCGCCGCCGCCAGCGGCGGCGCCGUCGCCGGAGCACGGCGGAGCCGCCGUGCCGGAGUUGCGAUUUGGGCCGAAAGAGGCCCUGGGCCUAAUUUGGAUUUUUUUUGGAACACGUGCAGGUACUCUUAGUGUGUUUCAGUUUCCCGGGAAAAAUU
rnacentral:lncRNA from 1 species